rnacentral:rRNA from 1 species
GAAGAAGGCCUUCGGUUCGUAAAGCCCUCUUUAGUGAGGAGGAAGGCGUGGCGGUUAAUACCCGCAUGGUUGACGUUACUCCGCAGAAUAAGCACCGGCUAACUCCGUGCCAGCAGCCGCGGUAAUACGAAGGGUGCAAGCGUUACUCGGAAUUACUGGGCGUAAAGCGCGCGCAGGCGGUCUGUCAAGUCCGAUGUGAAAUCCCCGGGCUCAACCUGGGAACUGCAUCCGAUACUGGCUGACUAGAGUGUUGUAGAGGGUAGUACAAUUCCUGGUGGUAGCGGUGAAAUGCGUAGAGAUCUGGAGGAAUCAUCGCGUGGCGAACGGCCGCCCCCUGGACC